AUUGAACGCUGGCGGCAGGCCUAACACAUGCAAGUCGAGCGAAGUCUUAGGACUUAGUGGCGGACGGGUGAGUAACACGUGGGAACGUGCCUUUAGGUUCGGAAUAACUCAGGGAAACUUGUGCUAAUACCGAAUGUGCCCUUCGGGGGAAAGAUUUAUCGCCUUUAGAGCGGCCCGCGUCUGAUUAGCUAGUUGGUGAGGUAAAGGCUCACCAAGGCUACGAUCAGUAGCUGGUCUGAGAGGAUGACCAGCCACAUUGGGACUGAGACACGGCCCAAACUCCUACGGGAGGCAGCAGUGGGGAAUCUUGCGCAAUGGGCGAAAGCCUGACGCAGCCAUGCCGCGUGAAUGAUGAAGGUCUUAGGAUUGUAAAAUUCUUUUACCAGGGACGAUAAUGACGGUACCUGGAGAAAAAGCCCCGGCUAACUUCGUGCCAGCAGCCGCAGUAAGAC
rnacentral:rRNA from 1 species